UUAUCGAAAACAUCUCUCUUUGUAAAUUAUAUAUAAGGAGUUGGCCCUGCUCGGUGAAAGUUUUAACAGCUGCGGUAUUUUAACUGUACUAAGGUAGCAUAAUAAUUUGCCUUAUAAUCUUGAGGCUAGAAUGAAUGGUUUGACGAAGGUUAAUCUGUCUCUAUUUUACUUUUUAGAAAUUAAUUUUCAUAGUGAAAAAGCUUGAAUUUUUUAAAGGGACGAGAAGACCCUAUUGAGCUUAUAAUUUUAUUAUUACCAAUAUUAUUAAUUGUUAGUGGUAAUAUAUAAAUUUUAAUUGGGGUGAUUAAGGACAUAAAAAGUUUAUUAUUUAGUAACUUCCUUAGUAAAUAUAAAUUGUUAAAUAAAGUAACCAAUAUAAAUAAAUAUUAUUGCUUAUAUUAUAGUUACCAUAGGGAUAACAGCGUAAUUUAUUUAGAGAGUUCUUAUUGAAAAAUAAGAUUGCGACCUCGAUGUUGGAUUAAAGUAACUUAAGGUGCAGAAGCUCCAAUAAGGUAAAUCUGUCGAUUUUUAAAACUUUACAUGAUCUGAGUU
rnacentral:rRNA from 1 species